GGGCGCUUAGCUCAGUUGGUAGGGCGUCUGCCUUACAAGCAGCAUGUGGGUUGUUCGCUGCAUGUCGGCGGUUCGAUCCCGUCAGCGCCCACCA
rnacentral:tRNA from 1 species